AAGAGACAGCAGCAGCCACGGGAACACAGAGGGUGCGAGCGUUAAUCGGAUUUACUGGGCGUAAAGCGUGCGUAGGCGGCUUCUUAAGUCGGAUGUGAAAUCCCUGAGCUUAACUUAGGAAUUGCAUUCGAUACUGGGAAGCUAGAGUAUGGGAGAGGAUGGUAGAAUUCCAGGUGUAGCGGUGAAAUGCGUAGAGAUCUGGAGGAAUACCGAUGGCGAAGGCAGCCAUCUGGCCUAAUACUGACGCUGAGGUACGAAAGCAUGGGGAGCAAACAGGAUUAGAUACCCCCGUAGUCCCUGUCUCUUAUAA
rnacentral:rRNA from 1 species